AUUUUGUCAUGUCAUCUGCAACAGACGAUCAUACAUAUGUGGCGGAUUAUCGAUAUAGAUACAGCUAGGUAGCAAUAGCAGUGGAAGCCCGGAUUUGCAAGCCAAAAUGAGGGAAAGACAGAAUUCUGAAAAGGAGCAUGUUUUUCAUUUCCACACAUGCAUGUGUAUCACUAUGGACAUCUAAUGUUUUUGUGGGAUUUUGUCCAGCAGUUUGCCUUAAAAGAAUUUUUUUAUAUUUUAGUUUCAUAUUUAUGUGGAUUCCAAUAAAAAUCAUACAAACUUC
rnacentral:sRNA from 1 species